CCCCGCCACUGACACACACCGGGGCCGCCCUCCGGCGAGGGGAGGGGGCAGGCGGUCUCCCUCCGCAGCUCUCGGCAGAACGCCACAGCGCCCUACCUCCCUUCCACCUGAGGCAGUGACCCCCCCCGCUCGGCGCUCCCGCCAGACAGCACUCGCCGCUGCCGAGUAGGGGUGUGUGGUGGAGCGGGAACAGAAAAACAGCUGACCUGCGCUAGCAGCUAUGACCUAGCACCAGCCCAGUUCUUAGACCUAAGUGCAAGCCUUGUGGAAUCACAAGCACCAUUGACAGGUCUUACACAGAGAUGGUGGAAUAAAAGAGACAGAAGGCUAACCGGAGAUGGCAGAGAGAGCUGAUGAAGUCCAUUGUAAACUCAGGAGAGAAAUGCUUCAAGUCCAGCUAAAUAGCUCUGUGUCAGGCCCAGCAAAAUGGUGUGUGGGUUUAACAGCUGCAGAAUGUUUCUUUAUUGCUGGUACUUUCUGUGCUCUAAGUCGUACUGUGUUCACCCCAGUGAGCCAGCAGAAAAAGAAACAAAUCCUACUGAAUAUGGCCACAGUUAUGUGGGUGGGAUUAUAAACCUCUCAAAAGGACAUACCACCUUGAAACUACAAGACACCCACCUGCCUGUGACCCAGGCGAGGCUGAUCAAAUUCUUGUGAUAAAUAGGCAUGGCGAGUAUUCUUGUGACAAUGAUUUUCCCCCUGUAUCAGUUGCUGAGUGUUUCAGAGUGCAUUAGAGCAAGGAAGCCAGUGACUUGAAAUGAAGAGAUUAGUCCUAGCAGAAAUCCUCAGCACUGUCUGAUUUGUGGAAUAUGACAGUACAGUCUGCCAGGAAACUCAUGCAAUGUGUUUAUGGCCACUUCUGCAGUGCUUGCAGCCACAGAUUGAGUCCUACCUCUACUUAGGCUGAUGGUGCAGCAGCAGCAAUGCCCCCUCAGCCAGAAAAUAUCCCCUAGUUUUAUGUGUUUUCCUGCUUUUGAGUUGCUGCUUUCAUGGUGGUGUUCUGAAUUGUUUGGUUUGUUCCUGAUCAGCUGCUUUCAAAUUUUUAUUCCCUGGUUUUGGUAUCACCUGGCAGUAUGAGUUUUGUG